rnacentral:rRNA from 1 species
UACGAAGGGAGCUAGCGUUGUUCGGAAUCACUGGGCGUAAAGCGCACGUAGGCGGAUGUGUCAGUCAGGGGUGAAAUCCGGAGCUCAACUUCGGAACUGCCUUUGAUACAGCACAUCUGGAGUCCGGAAGAGGUGGGUGGAAUUCCUAGUGUAGAGGUGAAAUUCGUAGAUAUUAGGAAGAACACCGGUGGCGAAGGCGGCCCACUGGUCCGGUACUGACG